AUUGAACGCUGGCGGUAGGCCUAACACAUGCAAGUCGAGCGGAGCGGCGGACGGGUGAUUCAUGCCUAGGCAUCUGCCUGGUAGUGGGGGAUAACGUCCGGAAACGGGCGCUAAUACCGCAUACUAUCAGAUGAGCCUAGGUCGGAUUAGCUAGUUGGUGGGGUAAAGGCCUACCAAGGCGACGAUCCGUAACUGGUCUGAGAGGAUGAUCAGUCAAACGGGAACUGAGACACGGUCAAGACUCCUACGGGAGGCAGCAGUGGGGAAUAUUGGACAAUGGGCGAAAGCCUGAUCCAGCCAUGCCGCGUGUGGGAAGAAGGGCUUCGGAUUGUAAAGCACUUUAAGUAGGGAGGCGUUGCCAGCAGAAGGAGCACCGUCUAACUUCGUGCCAGCAGCCGCGGUAAUAC
rnacentral:rRNA from 1 species